rnacentral:rRNA from 1 species
UACAGAGGUCCCGAGCGUUGUUCGGAUUCACUGGGCGUAAAGGGUGCGUAGGUGGCCAGGUAAGUUUGGUGUGAAAUCUCCGGGCUUAACCCGGAAAUGGCAUUGAAUACUAUCUGGCUAGAGGUUUGUAGGGGGGACUGGAAUUCUCGGUGUAGCAGUGAAAUGCGUAGAUAUCGAGAGGAACACCAGUGGCGAAGGCGAGUCCUUGGACAACACCUGACACUGAGGCACGAAAGCUAGGGGAGCAAACGGG